AGCCAUGCAUGUCUAAGUAUAAGCAAUUGUACAGCGAAACUGCGAAUGGCUCAUUAAAUCAGUUAUCGUCUAUUUGAUAGUACCUUACUACUCGGAUAACCGUGGUAAUUCUAGAGCUAAUACGUGCUGAAAACCCCGACUUCGGAAGGGGUGUAUUUAUUAGAUUAAAAGCCAAUGCCCCCCGGGGCCCCUUGGUGAUUCAUGAUAACUCCUCGAAUCGCACGGCCUUGCGCCGGCGAUGGUUCAUUCAAAUUUCUGCCCUAUCAACUUUCGACGGCUGGGUCUUGGCCAGCCGUGGUGACAACGGGUAACGGAGGGUUAGGGCUCGACCCCGGAGAAGGAGCCUGAGAAACGGCUACUACAUCCAAGGAAGGCAGCAGGCGCGCAAAUUACCCAAUCCCGACGCGGGGAGGUAGUGACAAUAAAUACUGAUACAGGGCUCUUUCGGGUCUUGUAAUUGGAAUGAGUACAAUUUAAUUCCCUUAACGAGGAACAAUUGGAGGGCAAGUCUGGUGCCAGCAGCCGCGGUAAUUCCAGCUCCAAUAGCGUAUAUUAAAGUUGUUGCAGUUAAAAAGCUCGUAGUUGAACCUUGGGCCUGGCUGGCCGGUCCGCCUCACCGCGUGCACUGGUCCGGCCGGGCCUUUCCCUCUGGGGAACCGCAUGCCCUUCGCUGGGCGUGCCGGGGAACCAGGACGUUUACUUUGAAAAAAUUAGAGUGUUCAAAGCAGGCUUAUGCUCGGAUACAUUAGCAUGGAAUAAUGGAAUAGGACGUGCGGUUCUAUUUUGUUGGUUUCUAGGACCGCCGUAAUGAUUAAUAGGGACAGUCGGGGGCAUCCGUAUUCAGUUGUCAGAGGUGAAAUUCUUGGAUCUACUGAAGACGAACUACUGCGAAAGCAUUUGCCAAGGAUGUUUUCAUUAAUCAGGAACGAAAGUUAGGGGAUCGAAGACGAUCAGAUACCGUCGUAGUCUUAACCAUAAACUAUGCCGACUAGGGAUCGGACGGUGUUGCUUUUUGACCCGUUCGGCACCUUGCACGAAAGUACAAGUUUUUGGGUUCUGGGGGGAGUAUGGUCGCAAG
rnacentral:rRNA from 1 species